GACGAACGCUGGCGGCGUGCCUAAUACAUGCAAGUAGGACGCAGUUGCGAACGGGUGAGUAACGCAUAGGUAACUACCUAUUAGAGGGGGAUAACUAUUGGAAACGAUAGCUAAUACCGCAUACUAGUAGAUGGACCUGCGUUGUAUUAGCUAGUAGGUAGGGUAAUGGCCUACCUAGGCAACGAUACAUAGCCGACCUGAGGAGGGGGUCGGCCACACAGGGAGUGAGGAAAGGCCCAAAAUCCUCAGGGGGGCAGCAGUAGGGGAUCUUCGGCAAAGGGGCGAACCCUGGCCGAACAACGCCGCGGGAGUUGAAAAAGUUUUCCGGUCGUUAAACUCUUUUGUUAAGGGAGCGGUACUUAACCAGAAAGCGACGGCUAACUACGUGCCAGCAGCCGCGGUAAUAC
rnacentral:rRNA from 1 species